CAUUGGGUUAGGGGUAGCUAGGAUGCAACACGCCUCUGGGAUGAGGUCGUGGGGUGCUUCUAAGAAAAAGCAGCAACCCCCUGAAAGGAAAGACUCCAGAGCUCCAGCCCCUCCGCAGAGACGUGCUACACCUAGACAGGUUGGAAGAACUGAAGGAAGCCAUCAGCUCCUUGAGCCAUGCUGGCCUGUGUGACCUUCCAUUUCCCUCCCCUAAUUCAAGCCAGUGACACAGUUCCUAAGCUCCUACUCUGGGUAAAGCAGACAAAAAGAAUCCAACAACCCUCCCUCAACAGAACAGAAACAAAGCCCUGCCCAGGACUUACAUUCUCGGGGAGGGAUAGAGUGUAUAGGAAUAAGGAAAACCAAAGUGAUUUAAGGAGAGAGGGGACGUCACUGAUUGGGAACAUCUGAGAAGGCUUCAUGGAGGAGGUGGUCUCCAAGCUGAAGUCAGUUAGGUAGACAUUCUAGGAAACCAAGUCAGGGAGACUGCAUUUUAUCCUGGCUGUAAUAAGGAGCCACUUAGAUUUUUGAGGAGACGAAUGUCAUGGUUAAACCUGGGUAUUCAAAAGACAAUUUUGGCAAGAAGGUGGAAAAAAGGUACUAAAAGGGAGAGACUGGAAAUGGGACAGAAGGUAGGAGGAUAUUCAAAAAAUCUGCCAAGAAGUCAAAAGGGCCAGAACGAGCAGUGUGAUUGAGGUAGUGGAGGAGAGGGAUAUGGGCAAUCUUGAGGAGUCAGAGAUAGGACUUGGGAACCAACCACAUGGCAGGAAUUAGGAAGAGAAGAGGAUUAAGAAUAAUUCCAGGAUUGCAAAAAUUCCAGGAUUGGGAUGGUGGCUCAACCGAAGUAAGGAGGUUUGGAAAAAGGGAAUAUACAGGGGGGGAAACAUUUGCUUCUGUUUUGAAUAUGUGUAGCUUGAGAAAAUAAUGAGCUGCUUAUUUGGAGAUCUGCCCUGGAGAAUAGGCAAUGUGGGACUAGAGUUCAGGAGUGAGACUAGGGCUAGAAAUUUAAAUCUGAGAGUCUGUGUAGUGAUAACUAAUAAAAAAACCCCAUGAUUAGUUGAUUAUAUGGAGUUAAUGAUCUCAGCAGAAAGAGUGGGGAGAAUAAGGCUGCCAUAUUAUGGGAGGGCCUACUUGAAACUAGAUAGAAUAAAUUUUGUAGAGGGAUCAGUGGUCUCUGUUUAGUGACUUCUGGCAAACGUACAAUUCUAGGAUCUAAGAAAAUGGAUAUUGAGAGUUAACUAACAUCAAGGAUGGACAGGGUGUCAGUGGUGCUAAGGGCAAGGGAUUCCGGAAUAUAAGGAAGUUCAUAUAUGGUCAGAACAGGGGUGAUAGACUCAAAGAGCAAGAAAGGGUGGCGAGACUAGAAUUCAUGAUGGAGAUUAGGUUUAGAAAGGGAAAAAGACAGAUAGUGCCAAAUCAGAGUUUAUAUAGAAGGGGAAUAAUUUGAGAGUGAAGAUGGAAUAAAAAUCAUGUUUGUGGUCAACAUGAUAUAGAGGCAAAAGUUGGGCUUGGGGCUUGGAGAACUUGAAGGUUAUGAUAAUCAGAGGAAUAUCAUGACUGCUGGUCAUCCUUCCUGAAAUCACCAUCAGUUGCUCUAAGAUCAAAUGUUCGCUUUACAAAAGAAAUGUGUGGAGAAAAGCAAGCUUUCCAAAUUAGGGGGCCCCUGAUAAUUAGGAACUUGCCUCCUUGCAGUGCUGGCAUAGUAACUGUAAUGAAUGAAGGUCUUUUCUCUGGAAAAAGUGUUCUCUGGGAAGGAAGUCUGAGACAUAGGAGGCUCCGUGGGGGAAAUGGGAGGUUUGCUACCUGCUGUGAGCCCCACCUAGAGUAUGAGGCUCUGCUCAGUUCCUUGGGGAGUGGGACACAUGGUGUAUUCAUUUCCUCUAACCUCUGUUCUAAGUUUCAUUCUGUUUUCUUGAUCCUAUGUUGAGCAUUGGGAGUCAUGUGCUUAUAAUGGGAAUUGGGAGAAGGACACUGGUGCUGUCAUUAGUGAAGCUCCCAGAUCUUCUGGUGGGCUCCAAGAGCCAGAGCAGAGAGAAUUUCCUCCAAGAGCCCCUUUGAGUCCCAUGAGAAUCAAGUCACCAACACAAGGGUUACAUCUGCUUUUUGUGAAACAGUCAUAUUUAUUCUGAACUCAGAAUGUCUAAAGAGGAAAUACUUGGAAUUUUCAUAAAUACGGGUUUGAGACUUUUUCUUCCUCCAUGAAACUUGCCCUGCUCCCCUCUCCCAGUGCUUAGUGAGCCCUACCUCCUUCUCCCUCCCUCCCAUUUAUCAGUGUCCAUGUUGUGCCUCCCAGAGCAAUGUAAGCACUUUGAAUAUAGGGACUGUUCUUUUGUGAUUGUUUCCUCAGUACUAAGGACAGCACCCGUGACCAGAAUUUGCAAAUGUUAAAUUGGCUAGCUGAGGUGUCUCAGACUCCUUGCUUGCUUGUCUCCACUCCAUCAUUGCUCAGGGGGGAAUUUUCUAUGUGCACAGAAGUGGGAAGCAUUUCCAGCUCCCCAACUCCCUUUUAAUCGGGAAAGAGGUCCUGGCUUUAAAGAGAUCCCAUCUAUUCUGCUCAUCCUUUAGGAUGCCUGACCUUUGGCUUUGAAAAAUCUUGGGACAGCCCCAAGUGGAUCCCUUGAUUGGAUCAUUAGGGGCUUGUCCUUAGUUUCCUCUGAAGCUUCUGUUUCCUGGAAAAGUCGUGUCAGCUUUUUCUAUAUAUUUACUUUGAGGUGACGAUCUUUACUCAGGGUCUGCAGGGGGAUUACUGCCUGAAAGUCUUCCAGGAGCCCAACGAGGCAGACAUAGUACCAACAUAUUAAAGUUCUCAAUGGAAGACGCAUUGGUAUCUCAUGCAUCUUCCCUGACCAAAGGCUGGGAUUUUGAAGCGGGCCAUUUCAGGAGUCCCGAUGUCCUUCUCCGGGUCCCUUCGGAUCCGAUCUUGACAUCUUUGUUGUUGCAGAAAUGAAGGAACUGGACUCGAUGGCCCCUCGGGACCCUUCCAGCACCAGACCCAAGUAUCCUGUGAAGCAAAUCAUUGCAGCCAGAGAAGGAAGAGAAGUGGAGAGGAAUCACCCUGAAAAGAUACUGGCAUCUAUUGUUAUAUCGAGAUGACUGGCAUUCGUGUCUAACGGUCUCGGCUCAGCCCGGAUGCCCUCUAUGGGUGCAGCAAAAGAACGAAGUAGCUGUUAUGUACCAUUGCAAGGUCACAACUUUCUAGGGCCUGCCAAAGAGUGGAAUACUGAAUCCCUGGAGUCUUUCAGUGUUCCCUCCUUCCCUCCACUCCUUGGUGAGCAUUGUCCUGACCUUGGGACUAGAGACCUGUAAUUGGCUGCCGUGACCCCUCCCACCGGGGGCUGCAGGGAGCCAUGGGGUUGGCAGUGGUGUGGAUGACGGAAGCCCCAGGGGAUGGUCACUCCAAGGCCCUGGAAGCCCUGAGCCGGAGACGGCCAGAAGAAAUCCCGAGGAAGACACGGGCAGAAUUUGCAUCGCCAGCAUGGACCAGCACUUCAGUCUUUCUUCCAUGAGUUCCCCAGUGAGGAAAAGUCUCCUCCUUACAAGCUUGUUCACCUUUCUGAGUUAAAUAUUUGCUUUGGCUUUUGAGCUCCACUUUGAUAAAAUCUGUUAACCACAUUGCUAAUCCGUGUAUAUCAUUGUUCAAAUGAAACAGAGAGGAGACACCGGGGCAGAGUCUGAGCAGACAGGGAGGCGGUUUGCCAGAAACCUCCGGCUAGGGUCUCAGCUAUGGCCGAGAGGUUCCAGUUACUCCUUUCCUGGAGUAGAACACUUUAUGGGGGCUCUCCUAAGGGAUGGGGCAGCAGGGGUGAGGCUGCUGCACUAAGGCAGGGCCUCUGCCGUCUUCCCAGGUUUGAACUGGAAGGCAAGCCAUGCCCAGAGGAUGGGUGUCCAGGGAAUGAGCGGAGGGGCAGGGUGUCCAAGGGCAAGGGUAGCCAAGCUCACAGAACAGCAGGGGUAAAAGAAGGGACUAACCUCCUG